rnacentral:rRNA from 2 species
UGAGGAAUAUUGCGCAAUGGACGAAAGUCUGACGCAGCAACGCCGCGUGGGCGAUGAAGGCCUUCGGGUUGUAAAGCCCUUUUCUGAGGGACGAGAGAGGACGGUACCUCAGGAAUAAGUCUCGGCUAACUACGUGCCAGCAGCCGCGGUAAAACGUAGGAGGCGAGCGUUAUCCGGAUGUAUUGGGCGUAAAGCGCGUGCAGGUGGUAUCGUAAGUCGGAUGUGAAAGCCUCUGGCUUAACUAGAGGAUGUCGUUCGAUACUGCGGAACUUGAGGUCGGGAGAGGGAAGCGGAAUUCCCGGUGUAGUGGUGGAAUGCGUAGAUAUCGGGAGGAACACCAGUGGCGAAGGCGGCUUCCUGGCCCGCACCUGACACUAAGACGCGAAAGCGUGGGGAGCGAACGGG